rnacentral:lncRNA from 1 species
CUGGAGGCCUUCUGAUGCUGUUGAGUGUAUGGAGGAUGUGUUGGGUACAACUGUAGCUUGGCCUAGAGACAAAAUGGUGCUAAUCUAAACUUUCAGUAAGAGGUCUACUGCCUUAGAUUCUGUUGCAUAUGAUUCAAAACUUUUGGUGUGAUUUGAUACUUAAACACAUGGAUCAAUGUAAUGUUUGGUACUUGUAAGUUUUUGGAUAAUAUGAUGAUGAUAUGUUAUUGACUUCUUUUUUAUAAAUAUAAAAUUUUAAAUAG